CAGACACCUAUCCUGAUCUUAUACCCAAUUUGCUCUAGGACUAUUCCACUGAAAUAAAUCAGUUCUUUACCAGGAAUCCAUCCUGAUGACAUAUGAGCAGUUCAUAAACUUUAUGCAAACAAGGAAAUCGCGCUAUGCAGUGAUGCAUUCAGUUUUAUUUAAAGGAAAAAAGAAGAUGAGGGUAAAGAAGUUAAGGGGAAAAGAAUCACUGUGGUUGAUAGUUUCUCCGUUUAAACCUUCAAAAGGCUUUGACAUGAGCUGGAGAAUGGAAGAAAGGGUGGAAACCCUUCCCAGGACUACUGCUUGCUGGAAUGAAUUUUCUGCAAGACUGAUUUCAUAGUGCCACAUCACAUCAGAUUAUGUUUUGAUUUUUAUAUCUUUUCAACAUUAAGAAAGAAAAGUAUUUUGCUAAUUUUUUAAGUGUAAUUUGCAAAAAUAUAACAGAAUUCAGCAGGCACAUUGCUGACAACCAUAAAACCACAAGAACGAGGAAUGUGUUCAUAAGUGUGUUUCAAUAUGACAGUCACUGCUAUGACAGCUUUCUCAAAGCUAUUCAUGUGCUUAUUUGUCAGGUAAGAGUUAACUGGACUCUCCAAAGAUCAGAGGUAGCCACUGAAGAGAAAAGGUCAUUAUAACUUUAUCUACAGGCAGGAAAAUACUGUUAAAAUUCCCAGUCAUCACACCGGCUUAUGAUGGCUUGUCAGAGCAGCUGGAAAAACAUCUUCCUUUAAAAAAAACAACAACAACAACAA